CAGCAGCCGCGGGAAUACGAAGGGUGCAAGCGUUAAUCGGAAUUACUGGGCGUAAGGCGUGCGUAGGCGGUGAGUUAAGUCUGCUGUGAAAUCCCCGGGCUCAACCUGGGAAUGGCAGUGGAUACUGGCUCGCUAGAGUGUGUCAGAGGAUGGUGGAAUUCCCGGUGUAGCGGUGAAAUGCGUAGAGAUCGGGAGGAACAUCAGUGGCGAAGGCGGCCAUCUGGGACAACACUGACGCUGAGGCACGAAAGCGUGGGGAGCAAACAGGAUUAGAUACCCCCGUAGUCCCUGUCUCUUAUAC
rnacentral:rRNA from 1 species